CAAGUCUCUUGUGAAAUCCAACGGCUUAACCGUUGAACUGCUUGGGAAACUGGUAAUCUAGAGUGGGGGAGAGGCAGAUGGAAUUGGUGGUGUAGGGGUAAAAUCCGUAGAUAUCACCAAGAAUACCCAUUGCGAAGGCGAUCUGCUGGAACUUAACUGACGCUAAGGCGCGAAAGCGUGGGGAGCAAACAGGAUUAGAUACCCUGGUAGUCCACGCCCUAAACGAUGUAUGCUAGUUGUUGGGGUGCUAGUCAUCUCAGUAAUGCAGCUAACGCAUUAAGCAUACCGCCUGGGGAGUACGGUCGCAAGAUUAAAACUCAAAGGAAUAGACGGGGACCCGCACAAGCGGUGGAGCAUGUGGUUUAAUUCGAAGAUACGCGAAGAACCUUACCUGGGCUUGAUAUCCUAAGAACCUUAUAGAGAUAUGAGGGUGCUAGCUUGCUAGAACUUAGAGACAGGUGCUGCACGGCUGUCGUCAGCUCGUGUCGUGAGAUGUUGGGUUAAGUCCCGCAACGAGCGCAACCCACGUAUUUAGUUGCUAACACUUCGGGUGAGCACUCUAAAUAGACUGCCUUCGUAAGGAGGAGGAAGGUGUGGACGACGUCAAGUCAUCAUGGCCCUUAUGCCCAGGGCGACACACGUGCUACAAUGGCAUAUACAAUGAGACGCAAUACCGCGAGGUGGAGCAAAUCUAUAAAAUAUGUCCCAGUUCGGAUUGUUCUCUGCAACUCGAGAGCAUGAAGCCGGAAUCGCUAGUAAUCGUAGAUCAGCCAUGCUACGGUGAAUACGUU
rnacentral:rRNA from 1 species